AAUAUUGCGCAAUGGAGGGAACUCUGACGCAGCGACGCCGCGUGAGCGAUGAAGGUUUUCGGGUCGUAAAGCUCUGUCCUUGGGGAAGAAGGUCUUCGGACUUGACGGUACCUAAGGAGGAAGUCCCGGCUAGCUCCCUGCCACCAGCCGCGGUAAUACGUAGGGGGCAAGCGUUGUCCGGAAUUAUUGGGCGUAAAGGGUGCGUAGGCGGCCUUUUAAGUGAGGUGUGAAAGCCCACGGCUUAACCGUGGGAUUGCAUUUGAAACUGGAAGGCUUGAAUAUCGGAGAGGGUAGUGGAAUUCCCAGUGUAGCGGUGGAAUGCGUAGAUAUUGGGAGGAACACCAGUGGCGAAGGCGACUACCUGGACGAAAACUGACGCUGAGGCACGAAAGCUAGGGGAGCAAACA
rnacentral:rRNA from 1 species